UUUGUUUUAUUUUAUUUUAUUUCUGUCGCGAAUAACGUGUUUGUGUUGCUUUGCAGUUCAGCGGGUCCGGCGAGGAGGAGACGACGCCCCUCAACGACUUCGAGGCCAGCGGCGGCGGCGAUGACGCCCUCCUCACGGGCUCCGCCAUCCUCUUGACUGACAACGGUGUGGAGCAGGAUGCGGGGGACGGUAGCAAGGAGCUGGGGGGCAUGAUGCCGCCCUUCCCGCCGCCGCCGCCAGGGCC